AACCGAGGCGGACCGGGAGGCUGGAAGGGAGGGGACGCGGGGACCUUGACGGGCGCGCGCAUUAAAGAAACCCGCUGGUAGGGGCUGGGGACCAGCCGCGGGGGUGGGCUCCUCGUGCUGCAGCCCUGGACUUCACGCUCGUCUCAGAGAUUUUUGCAAAGUAGCCGCAGGGGCUGACGCUGUGACUCAGGAACCUGAACUCUGCUUGUGAUGCCCGCAUGCACCCAAGAAAAUGUCAAAGCUGUUUUUCAGCCCUUGUUCAUUGGCAGCUGAGAGGCAGGAUGCCGCAGUGUCAACGCCCAUCUUGUGGGAAGAACUGGAAGAGGUUUCACUGCUUGAUUGCUGAAGCUGGUUCCACAAACUUACCAGGAGGAUGCUGUAGAUAAGCUAUUUGUUGGUGCUGUCUGGAAUUCAUAUGCAAAUCAUGAUCAUUUGAAGAAGUAGCACCAUGAAAAAGAGAUCAAGCAUCAAGACUCCUAGGUGGCAGAAGUUUGUAUUCACUCAACACUCUCUUCCAAACACCCUCUAACUUCUCUGGAAAUAUGGUGUCUAGAAGUGAACACGGUAUUCCAAGAGGAGUUGGUUCAGCUAAGAUCAGAAUGAAGGAAGCUAUUUGUUAUCUGCACUCCCUAUUCCAAGAAUUUCCCAUUCCCAACUGCUCCAGGGUUUGGUGGAAAAAAGCUUAUCUCUGCUGUACACAGUGUCACCUGAUGCAGUUGGACCCAAGGCUGAAAGAUCUGCUGAUGAGGUGGCUGGCAAGUUGGUGCUGGCUGUCAGCUGGAUUUCAACAUAAGUCCUACAUGGGGACCUCAGUGCCUCCCCAUCAGAGCUUCUUGUGGGCUUCUUGGCUUCCUCACAGCAUGGCGAUUGGUUUCCAAAGGCAAGUAUCCAAAAAAGACUAGAUGAAGGAUAGACGGUGUUUUCCAACUUAGCCUCCUAAAUCACAUAGUGUCCUUGCACACUGUAUUCAUGAAAGCAAUCCUACAACUUCACUCAGAUUCAAAGAGAAGGGAAGGAACUAGACUUCACCUCUUGGUAGAGGAGUGGAAAAUUUUUAGAAGGUGUUAUGCAAUGAGAGAUAACAUUGCAGCCGUCUUCGGAAAAUAAAAUCUGUGACAGGUAUAUUAUUCUCUUCGCCUUGAAUUGUCUUUCCUCUUUGUUGUCUGAAAAACCCAGUUCAUUCCUCAAUGAUCUGUUCAGAUAUUACUUUCAUUAUGAAACAUUUUCCUAGAAAAGUAUUAAUCACUGCUCUUCUGUGUCAAC